rnacentral:snRNA from 1 species
GGACCUCAGCCUUUUGGCUAAGAUCAAGUGUAGUAUCUGUUCUUAUCAGUUUAAUAUCCGAUACGUCCCCCAUCGGGGGGCUACAUAUUAAAUGCUCCUGAGUGGCGCAGCGGUCUAAGGCACUGCAUCUCAGUGCUAGAGGUGUCACUGCAGACCCU